CACGCAUUCAAAUCUGCCCAUAAGAAAGCAUUAGGAUCUGAAAUGACACUGGACUCCAUGAGGACAUUUUCUCACUCUGAAUCUGAAAAUCAUGGAAACUGGAUUAACCCUGCUAUGUUUUUUCAGAGUCCAGUGUUAAAGCUAUCCGACCUGAGACUCAAACCACAUUGAACUGAAGUGGUCUGGGCUCCUAUAUUGGUCCUUUAAAUGUGAAAAUCAUUCAUUUUUUAAAUAACCCUAUCUACUAUUUUGAACCCCUUUUACAAAUUAGAUUAGUUUGAUCAUAAACCUAGGAGAUAAACUAGCUAAAAUCCACAUAAAGGGGGCACCCGGAUUUGAACCAGGGACCUCUCGAUCUGCAGUCGAAUGCUCUACCACUGAGCUA